AAAGUUUCUUACGAAGAACGACUAGCCACCGACUUCGGCCUUCGGCGGAGGUGCGACUGCGGUAACAACGUUGUGCUGAGCGUCCGUACCGAGGGAAGCGCAGGCAAGCUAUUGAGCUCCGAAAUCCUCACUUUCGUGUGCCGACCUAGUCCUGACUGGGGGAAGGCAACAUCGCACUGCUCGCGAAAUGGCAAGAGCAAUGUGGACACGGCGGAGUCUGAGAACC
rnacentral:ncRNA from 1 species